AGAGUUUGAUCCUGGCUCAGAGCGAACGCUGGCGGCGUGCUUAACACAUGCAAGUCGAGUGCGCAGUCUGCUGUAGCAAUACAGCAGGCAGGCGCCACGGCGCCACGGGUGCGUAACACGUGGGUAACCUGCCCUCCAAAGGGGGAUAACCCGCCGAAAGGCGGGCUAAUACCGCAUGACAUUCCGGUGGCUUCGGCCGCCGGAAUCAAAGCUCGAAAGGGCGUUGGAGGAGGGGCCCGCGGCCGAUUAGCUUGUUGGCGAGGUAACGGCUCACCAAGGCUUUGAUCGGUAGCCGGUCUGAGAGGAUGGCCGGCCACACUGGAACUGAGACACGGUCCAGACUCCUACGGGAGGCAGCAGUGGGGAAUCUUGCGCAAUGGGCGAAAGCCUGACGCAGCG
rnacentral:rRNA from 1 species